rnacentral:rRNA from 1 species
GAUGAACGCUGGCGGCGUGCCUAAUACAUGCAAGUCGAGCGAACAGACGAGGAGCUUGCUCCUUUGACGUUAGCGGCGGACGGGUGAGUAACACGUGGAUAACCUACCUAUAAGACUGGGAUAACUUCGGGAAACCGGAGCUAAUACCGGAUAACAUGUUGAACCGCAUGGUUCAACAGUGAAAGACGGUCUUGCCGUCACUUAUAGAUGGAUCCGCGCCGCAUUAGCUAGUUGGUAAGGUAACGGCUUACCAAGGCAACGAUGCGUAGCCGACCUGAGAGGGUGAUCGGCCACACUGGAACUGAGACACGGUCCAGACUCCUACGGGAGGCAGCAGUAGGGAAUCUUCCGCAAUGGGCGAAAGCCUGACGGAGCAACGCCGCGUGAGUGAAGAAGGUCUUCGGAUCGUAAAACUCUGUCAUUAGGGAAGAACAAAUGUGUAAGUAACUAUGCACGUCUUGACGGUACCUAAUCAGAAAGCCACGGCUAACUACGUG